UGGCCGCAAGUUCUUUGUGGAAAAAUACAAAGAAAAAUCAAAGCUGAUUCACCAUCAUCCUUGAGUACACCCUAGGAGAUACACGAUAAGAAUUCGGGUCAGUUCCAAUUCAGAAUGAGACAAAAAAAAAAAAAUACCUCACACACUCUCUCUCCCUCUCACAAGACCGUAGACCAGUUAGAGAAGAACCUGAAGAUUUCAUGUUAAUUUCCCCCUCUCUAUUCCUCAUUAAACCGUGAGCUACAUAAGGCAACGACCAUCCAGGUUUCCAUUUUUCUCCCCUGCAUGAUUCGGUCAAAUGGCAGCAGCCCAGGGAGAGCACAUCAUAGAGUUCAUCUUCCACAUUUUCUUGUUCGGCCAUUACUCCUUUGGUUUUUAUAAGGAACUCCGUUGCAUGCAGCGACAACCCAACUCAUGACAAGAAAGACUAGUAUCUUUGAAGUUGUGACCCAAUUUCUUUCAACUACAAGAAUAAGAGGCGGUGAUGAUGCUCCAAGUUUGGGUGACUGUUUUCUGUAUCUAUUUUAAGAAAAACAUGGUCGCAUGGAAGAAGGUGUGCUAACUUCUAAAAGUGUGGGCUGAUUGGUGAUGCUUUGAUAAAAUAAAAUGUUAAAGACUCGAGGAGGACGUAAAAGCUUUUGAGAACUUGGAUAUUUGCUGUUGGCUUCUACUGUUUUGGGCAUGCUGUUAUUGAUGUGAUAUUUUAUGGAUGACUGUAUGAAAUGGAGAAGCUUUUAUUACUGUGAACUAUGAUUUUAUUAUUGCAUUACAAUUUUAUGACCAGCAAGUAUUUUGGAAA